rnacentral:rRNA from 1 species
GACGAACGCUGGCGGCGUGCUUAACACAUGCAAGUCGAACGGAAAGGCCCUGCUUUUGUGGGGUGCUCGAGUGGCGAACGGGUGAGUAACACGUGAGUAACCUGCCCUUGACUUUGGGAUAACUUCAGGAAACUGGGGCUAAUACCGGAUAGGAGCUCCUGCUGCAUGGUGGGGGUUGGAAAGUUUCGGCGGUUGGGGAUGGACUCGCGGCUUACCGGCUUGUUGGUGGGGUAGUGGCUUACCAAGGCUUUGACGGGUAGCCGGCCUGGGAGGGUGACCGGCCACAUGGGGACUGAGAUACGGCCCAGACUCGUACGGGAGGCAGCAGGGGGGAAUAUUGCACAAUGGGCGGAAGCCUGAUGCAGCAACGCCGCGUGCGGGAUGACGGCCUUCGGGUUGUAAACCGCUUUCGCCUGUGACGAAGCGUGAGUGACGGUAAUGGGUAAAGAAGCACCGGCUAACUACGUG